ensembl:snRNA U6 U6 spliceosomal RNA
GCUCACUUCAGCAGAACAUAUACUAAAACUGGAAUGCUACAGAGAAGAUUAGCACAGCCCCUGUGCAAGGAUGACACACAAGUUUGUGAAGCAUUCACAUUACAA